GUGCUCGCUUUGGAAGCACAUAAACUAAAACUGGAACAAUACAGAGAAGAUUAGCAUGGCCUCUGCACAAAAAAAAAAAAAAAAACUUUUUUUUU
rnacentral:snRNA from 1 species